rnacentral:rRNA from 1 species
GACGAACGCUGGCGGCGUGCUUAACACAUGCAAGUCGAACGGAAAGGCCCUGCUUUUGUGGGGUGCUCGAGUGGCGAACGGGUGAGUAACACGUGAGUAACCUGCCCUUGACUUUGGGAUAACUUCAGGGAACUGGGGCUAAUACCGGAUAGGAGCUCCUGCUGCAUGGUGGGGGUUGGAAAGUUUCGGCGGUUGGGGAUGGACUCGCGGCUUAUUAGCUUGUUGGUGGGGUAGUGGCUUACCAAGGCUUUGACGGGUAGCCGGCCUGGGAGGGUGACCGGCCACAUUGGGACUGCGAUACGGCCCAGACUCCUACGGUAGGCAGCAGUGGGGAAUAUUGCACAAUGGGCGGAAGCCUGAUGCAGCAACGCCGCGUUCGGGAUGACGGCCUUCGGGUUGUAAACCGCUUUCGCCUGUGACGAAGCGUGAGUGACGGUAAUGGGUAAAGAAGCACCGGCUAACUACGUG